ACGGGGGGAGCAAACGUUGUUCGGAUUCAUUGGGCGUAAAGAGCUCGUAGGCGGCUCCGUAAGUCGAGGGUGAAAUACAACGGCUCAACCGUUGGAACGCCUUCGAAACUACAGAGCUUGAGGUCGGGAGAGGAAAGUGGAAUUCCUGGAGUAGCGGUGAAAUGCGUAGAUAUCAGGAGGAACACCGGUGGCGAAGGCGACUUUCUGGACCGAUUCUGACGCUGAGGAGCGAAAGCUAGGGGAGCGAACAGG
rnacentral:rRNA from 1 species